ACAGUCUUAAGCAGCUGGUUCUGGUUUCAAUGAUUAAGUGGAAAUUAAUCAAUCAAAAACAAUCAAGCAAAUACCCUGUUGGAAAUUUACCUUUAAAUAAGCAGUUGUCUACAGCUAACCUUACAGAAAGAUGGCAGCCAAGACUUGACAUAGUGUGAGAGGGAAGAUGUUUUCAUGUUUCAGGAGCCCAGUGCAUAAACUAGGCUCAACACAUGAAGCUCGGCUCAAGAAAUUCACAAGCAAAGAUCAACCACUCAAACCAAAUACAAUAAAGUGAUUCUGUAAUGAAAAGUAGUGGUUUCAAUUUCUCAAAAAAGUUUGAUUCAAGGGGACAUGUGAAUAGGGAUGAAGACAAAGAAAAUUAAAAUGCAGGAUGGUUCUAAGUGAUAAAGAACCUUUUAAAAAAAACUGUCAUAAUUAGAUGGAAAAUUUCCACACCAUCAUUUGCAUUGAGAGAUUUCCCUUAAUUUCCUACUGCCAUGACAGUAAUGAAAGAAAAAGAAUGAUGGGAGAAUAGGAUUAAUCAAAAUGGGAGGAAGCUUUAAGAAAGAAGAGAGUAGAGAGCUAGAGAUUUCUUAAUUUAGUUUGGAAUGUUUCCAUUGGAAUGAAGUCAGAAAUACUCAUUCUGCUUGUCUACAUUCUUAUCUAUCUCUAGGUGUGUCAGUGUUUUCUAUUUUUAGAAGACUCUCAAAGAUGAAAAUCAUGAUUUAUUUAUGUGUAAUGGAAUAACAUUUGGUGGAUAAAUCUACAAACAAUUCUCUUUGCACUAAUUAGAAGAGUUAUUAAUUUUUUGUCUUCAGAUACAUAGUGCUGUGUAAUUAUUGAGUGAGCCUGUUUAAGAAUAUGGAUGGUCCGAACACCUCCCAAAUAGAAAGGGACCAUCCUCAGGCCUGAAUGACACUUUGAGGUGUUACUGCCAGUGAGUGAAAAUAUCUGACCUGCCAGUAUCGCAGGAGAGUACCAUAGAACUUUUUAUUCUGCAUAGCCAUUAGGGAACAAACCAUCCUAUAGAGGACAGGAGUGUUGAUCUUUGACUACGAACAUUUAAAAUCUUUGAACUUUAUAAAAAAAAAACAAGGUGAAAAUGCUUGAAUGCUUACAUACAUUAUGUGGUAUAUAAUUAAACCUUUUUGGGUGUAAAAGUAUUAUUUCAGCUCACAAACAUGUUUUGUGUUCAAGAUAGUGCAUGAUGUCUUAGACAUACAGAAAUGGGAUUAAGGCUUUUUCUCAAUGAGCUUACACUCUGAUGAUGGAGUAGCUAUAUCAGUUUUUUACAGAAAGAGGUAAACAAAGAUAUAGAUGUAAACUGUAAUCUGUAUGUUAAAGUAAAGUUCUAGAGAUGAUGAUGAAGAUGACGUGGGAUGUAUGGCCCCAAGAGUGGCCCUAACAUUGACUUAUCGAGAAAGUCAUUGACUUGAGCAUGCAUUUUUGGCAUCUAGCUUAUUAUUAUAAAAAUGAAACAAG
rnacentral:lncRNA from 10 species